UAACACCUUCAACAGUAGGAUCAUUUCUAUAGGAAUCGUCACUCUUUGACUCUUCACAAGAGCCACUGAAUCCAACUUGGAAGAUGAGUAUCAUUACCUUUGUGCCCCAGAGUGAGAAUUUUUCUUUGGUUAUCGGAUGUUACCCUUCUUCGGAAGGCCAAGGUAGCAUGGAUGCAAGUCCCGAUUUUAAUAAGUUUGAACUCUGCAACUCUUAGCAGUUCGGAUUCAUCUUAUAGCCGAUUUCCAGUUACAUUUUAACGUUUUUUCUGCCUGUGUUUUUGGGAUUAAAAAAAUUUUUUUUUCUCUCUAAAAAAUGGCGCGAUGAUCUUUACCCAGCCUAUGUACUUCUUUUAUAAGAUGGGAUAAGCAUUAUUGGGUGGGUGCAAAUGGCAGUCUGACAAGU